rnacentral:rRNA from 1 species
AGAGUUUGAUCCUGGCUCAGGAUGAACGCUGGCGGCGUGCUUAAUACAUGCAAGUCGAACGGAGACAGUAGCAAUAUUGUCUUAGUGGCGAACGGGUGAGUAACGCGUUGGUGACCUGCCCCGAAGAGAGGGAUAGCAGUUCGAAAGGACUGAUAAUACCUCAUGUGGUUAUUGGUUUUAGAAUCUGAUAACUAAACGGAUUUAUUCGCUUCGGGAGGGGCCUGCGUCCCAUCAGCUAGUUGGUAAGGUAAUGGCCUACCAAGGCGAUGACGGGUAGGGGACCUGAGAGGGUGGCCCCCCACAAUGGAACUGAAACACGGUCCAUACACCUACGGGUGGCAGCAGUAGGGAAUAUUGGUAAUGUGCGAAAGCGCGAACCAGCAACGCCGCGUGCACGAUGAAGGCCUUCGGGUUGUAAAGUGCUUUUAGAGAGGAUGAGGAAGGACAGUACUUUCUGAAUAAGCCUCGGCUAACUAC